rnacentral:rRNA from 1 species
AUUGAACGCUGGCGGCAGGCCUAACACAUGCAAGUCGAACGAGUGGCGGACGGGUGAGUAAUGUCUGGGAAACUGCCUGAUGGAGGGGGAUAACUACUGGAAACGGUAGCUAAUACCGCAUACCAUCGGAUGUGCCCAGAUGGGAUUAGCUAGUAGGUGGGGUAAAGGCUCACCUAGGCGACGAUCCCUAGCUGGUCUGAGAGGAUGACCAGCCAACCUGGACGGAGGACACGGUCCAAAUUCUACGGGGGGGAAGAGGUGGGGAGUAUUGACCAAGGGGCGCAAGCUGGAUGCGCCCAGGCGGGGUGUAUGAAGAAGGCUUUCGGGUGGUAAAGUCCUUUCGGCGGGAAGACGUUACCCGCAGAAGAAGCACCGGCUAACUCCGUGCCAGCAGCCGCGGUAAUUC